GCGGAUGUGGCGGAAUUGGCAGACGCGCAUGGUUCAGGUCCAUGUGAGGGCAACUUCAUGGGGGUUCAAGUCCCUUCAUCCGCACCA
rnacentral:tRNA from 2 species